rnacentral:RNase_MRP_RNA from 1 species
CGAGCACAUGACGAAGUGAGCGGGCUCUUUGUAGCCCUGGAAAGUCCCCGGGCCCUCAACCGCAGAGAUGCGGCCGCGGAGACGCGGUAAAGUCUCAGCGCUCGCGCCCUCCUCUUCGCUAGGGGGCAGAGACACGUGUGGAGCCCUUUGGGCGCGAGCCGAGAUCAUGAAAUGGCCAAUUACACAGUUAUUCACUUGAUCCAUCUCCGGAUUAACAGAACGGGGCUUACGAUUGUGUGCAA